rnacentral:lncRNA from 1 species
CAGACGAAUGUAAACAGUUCAGCCGGUUAACAGUCGAUAAAAGGUCGGGUAUGGAAGAAAGUGCUGAGACGCGUGCAAGUGUGUAUCGAUGAAUAUUCUAGAAAUCGUUUAUAAAAUAAAUAUGUGUCUACGUUAAUAUUAAUGCCAAGUGUAAAUUUAAUGUUUCCAUAACAAUAUUUCGGCCAUCAAGACCCACAAUUCUCAACAGACUGUUAUCGUGCAUCUUUUAGUUUAAUUCUCACAAUCAUAUACUAUGUUCUACGGAGGGAUCCAUAAUUUGUCUCUGCGGAAUUCCUGCAUGUACACUUCCUUCUACGAUGAUUAAUCGCGCACUAGGUUUCCACUAUCUGCACUAUUCGACAAGCAGUGUCACACUCCCUUUGGUUUAACCACAAUAUUGUUACUAGUAGUCCGGUUGUCGUAUGUUAUGUUCUACG